rnacentral:rRNA from 1 species
GACGAACGCUGGCGGCGUGCUUAACACAUCCAAGUCGAACGGGUCUGCCCUGUUUUUUGCGGGGUGGGUCAGUGGCGAACGGGUGAGUAACACGUGAGUAACCUGCCCCUCACUUCUGGAUAACCGCUUGAAAGGGUGGCUAAUACGGGGUGUUCUGGCUGUGCCGCAUGGUGUGGCUGGGAAAGAUUCACUUUUGUGGUGUUUUGGUGGGGGAUGGGCUCGCGGCCUAUCAGCUUGUUGGUGGGGUGAUGGCCUGCCAAGGCUUUGACGGGUAGCCGGCCUGAGAGGGUGGGCGGUCACACUGGGACUGAGAUACGGCCCAGACUCCUGCGGGAGGCAGCAGUGGGGGGUAUUGCACAAUGGGCGGAAGCCUGAUGCAGCGACGUCGCGUGAGGGAUGGAGGCCUUCGGGUUGUGAACCUCUUUCGCCGGUGAAGAAGGUCCUGCUCUUUGUGGUGGGGUUGACGGUAGCCGGGUUAUGAAGCGCCGGCUAACUACGUG